CUGGGCUGAAGUUGCUGAACACUGUAUAAUUUUUCAUGAACGUUUUAUAUCCUUUCCGUUUAUCCCUAUCCAAGUCGAAAUUAACAACUACUAGCUAAAACAUGAGCAGCCGAUCUUUAUGUGAUAUACAAAUUCGAGCCGAAGGCGAGCGUGCUUAUAAAACGACCCAUAGGCAUAGUUUAUUGGCGAAGUAAUUUUAAAAAUGAAAGUCGUGAUUGCUGUCUAUGCCAAGAAG